GACGAACGCUGGCGGCGUGCUUAACACAUGCAAGUCGAACGGAAAGGCCCUGCUUUUGUGGGGUGCUCGAGUGGCGAACGGGUGAGUAACACGUGAGUAACCUGCCCUUGACUUUGGGAUAACUUCAGGAAACUGGGGCUAAUACCGGAUAGGAGCUCCUGCUGCAUGGUGGGGGUUGGAAAGUUUCGGCGGUUGGGGAUGGACUCGCGGCUUAUCAGCUUGUUGGUGGGGUAGUGGCUUACCAAGGCUUUGACGGGUAGCCGGCCUGAGAGGGUGACCGGCCCAAUGGGGGUGGGGGGCGGGCCCGGACCCUCCGGGGGGGGGGAGUGGGGGAAUUUGCGCAAUGGGGGGGAGCCUGAUGCAGCAACGCCGCGUGCGGGAUGACGGCCUUCGGGUUGUAAACCGCUUUCGCCUGUGACGAAGUGUGAGUGACGGUAAUGGGUAAAGAAGCACCGGCUAACUACGUG
rnacentral:rRNA from 1 species